GCUGAUGUCGCUUAAUGGUAAAGCACCACAGUUGCUUCCGUUUCAAUGUGGAGAAGGCGGUUCGAUUCCGUCCAUCAGCA
rnacentral:tRNA from 1 species